AUUGAACGCUGGCGGCAGGCCUAACACAUGCAAGUCGAACGAGUGGCGGACGGGUGAGUAAUGUCUGGGAAACUGCCCGAUGGAGGGGGAUAACUACUGGAAACGGUAGCUAAUACCGCAUACCAUCGGAUGUGCCCAGAUGGGAUUAGCUAGUAGGUGGGGUAAAGGCGCACCUAGGCGACGAUCCCUAGCUGGUCUGAGAGGAUGACCCGCCACACUGGGACUGAGACACGGUCCAGACUCCCACGGGAGGCAGCAGUGGGGAAACGUCCGCAAUGGGGGAAAGUCUGACGGAGCAACGCGGCGUGAGGGAUGACGGCCUUCGGGUUGGAAAGCUCGUUUAUCGGGACGACGGUACCGGAAUAGAAAGCCACGGCUAACUACGUGCCAGCAGCCGCGGUAAUAC
rnacentral:rRNA from 1 species